CCGUGUAACAAAUUGGUGUCAGAAGU
rnacentral:sRNA from 1 species